rnacentral:lncRNA from 1 species
AGCCAUGACAGCUGAAAAGUAUCUUCAUGGCAAGGGGGUGGAGAAAAACCAUACGCUCGCGAUGGAGUGGUACAAGAAGGCGGCGCGGCAGGGGCACCCGCAUGCCUCCUAUAACCUGGCGGUGGGGCGUCUUCAGGGUAUGGACGUGGGGCUCAAGCCAGGAGAGGCGCACGAGUUGAUCAAGCAUGCGGCAGCCCAGGGUGUUAUUGAAGCUGCUGAUGUGUUGCUCAAAGCCUGCUCCAAGGGACGUUGUGACGACUAACGACCGCGGAAUGACCAGUAACGUUAUGACGAUAUGACGAAGGGAAGCCGAUUAGCGUCAUUUCGAUCUCGCUGAUCAACACCGUUUAUAAAGAAUAGAAAUUUAUAAAGAAUACUCUCAAGAAUACUGUGUUGCGAUUUUCUGGACCUACAAAAGGCCUUUGAUUGUGUGAAUCACCAAGUUCUAUAGGGUAAGCUCCACCGUUAUGGAAUUAGGGGGACUUUCCUUACACUUAUUCAGUCUCAACUCACGAACAGAGUCGUCGUCGCAUUAAACGAGUUCAGUUCCCCAUUUAGGCCCAUGAAAAUAGGUGUAUCUCAGGGCUUUGUACAAUGGCCUCAAUUCUUUAAUAUUUUAUUUAUGAUAUCGCCUAAUCUUUUAUUGUGAAUUACAUGCUUUUUUGCCGAUGACGCCGUGUUCUAUGUCUCGAGAAACUCAUACGACGAAGCGUGGACAAUAUAUCAGAGCUGUCAUUGAAUCUGUCCAGAUAGCUCCUUGCAAACAAGCUAGUGGCACAUACAGACAAGGCCACGUUGAUGCUUUUUACUCCCAGACCCCUUUCCGUUUUACGUUUUCCGUUUUACAUCCCUUCAAUGUGACUACCUUACAAUGGGUCGAUGAAUUCUAUUCAGAUAUCUUGGUUUAAUCUUCAAUAAGAUAUCCUUCAAUAAACAUCCUUCAAGACAUCCUUCAAUAAACACAUUAACCACGUCUGCCAGGGACUGAGUAAAGCCCAAGGAGUUUUGCGUGCUUUAUUAAAUGUUCUACCUUUCCCUUCAUCAAAUAUGCUUUUCUAUGCAUUGUCCUUAUAGGCAGUGGAAAAUUUUAAAACUUGACGAUGUGCUCAGAGUGCAGCUUUUAAAAUUCAUGAAUAGAACACUUUUCCAUGAUGAACGUCUUUUUAAAUUUGCCCCCACACACCACCCAACACUUUCCUAAAACACCAAGCAGGUGCGUUCGAUUUAACUUACCACCUGUUCGUUUAGAAAUAGAAAAAAGCGGCUUCGUUUUCAGUUGUGUCAAAUAUUUUAACGAAUCGAGUUCAAAUAAGGUUGCUCCAAAAUGCUUUUGAAAAUAAAAUUCCGUGAUAAUAUCCUUAACCAGUAUUAAUUUUAUUUCGAUUAUUACGCAAGUUUUACGCCUUUUGGCUAGAUGUUUUCAAUUGUACCCUGUUUUACUCAGUGUAAUAUUGAUAUUGCCUCUGUAAUGUUGACUUUUUUAUUAUGACAUGAGGUUAUCAGUUUUCCUAAGCUUUUAUCAAUGGGCUUGAUUAUUUUAGAAAUGUAUUACUUAUUUGUCCGCAUCGUCAUCUUAUUAUCAGCAGAAUAUAGUUUUAUAUCUAUUAUGUUGCCUGCGAAACUUCUCCAGCUUAUACUGUAUGUGCAUUCACCUGAAAGCCUUGCUAUUUUAUUUCACGUUUCUAAUAUAUUUCAUUGUAACGGGUGAUCCUAUAUGUGUGAAUCAAUCAAUCAAUCAAUUCUAAAAUGCAUUGCAUGAUAUGAUUACGAUAAAUAUUUUAAUUGAUCAUUGAAUGGACACAUGUCUGACAAU